GACGAACGCUGGCGGCGUGCCUAAUACAUGCAAGUUGAGCGCUGAAGGUUGGUACUUGUACCAACUGGAUGAGCAGCGAACGGGUGAGUAACGCGUGGGUAAUCUGCCUUUGAGCGGGGGAUAACAUUUGGAAACGAAUGCUAAUACCGCAUAAAAACUUUAAACACAAGUUUUAAGUUUGAAAGAUGCAAUUGCAUCACUCAAAGAUGAUCCCGCGUUGUAUUAGCUAGUUGGUGAGGUAAAGGCUAACCAAGGCGAUGAUACAUAGCCGACCUGAGAGGGUGGACGGCCAAAAUGGGACCGGGGCACGGCCCCAACCCCUACGGGAGGCAACCAUAAGGGAUCUUCGGCAAAGGGCGGAAGUCCGACCGGAGCACGCCCGCUGGAUGAAGGAGGUUUUCGGAUCGUAAAACUCUGGUUAUUGGGGAGGACGAAGGGGGGAGUGAACAGCUCAUCAAGUGACGGUAACUACCCAGAAAGGGACGGCUAACUACGUG
rnacentral:rRNA from 1 species